rnacentral:lncRNA from 1 species
AGGUGAUGCGAUUGUUACAGUGGACCCCGAACGGGUCGAGUGCAGCGCCCAUAGGAGCGCCUCUCGCACAACACUGCAGGAGUCUUGCAGAUCAGGCGUCAACCCGUACGAGUGGGCGUGGCGGUGAUGAAGUGGAACCGUGUUCCCCAUCGGAACGGCGGGGAAGGUAGUCAUCGGCUUUCAGGCAUCCGGAUGCUCCAACUAGCACGUUGCAGCACUUGCCCAUGUUCGAUGAUAGCUUUGAUCUGAGAGCAGUUAUAGGCAAGGCCGCAAAGCUUCGCAGCACGCAAACUCUCAGAUAACACACACGGUGCAUGCAUGCUUCCUGUCACUCUGUUUCGACCGGCUUAUCUCCGAGGAUUUCGGAUGUACCAUCCUUUCCCAACCUUACAUCAAAGUGGUAGAUUUGGUGCCAUAACACUGUGGGUAGACUUGAUGCCAUAACACUCAAAAUUGCAGGUUCAAACAGAAGUGGGGAAAAAUGUUCCCCAUGCCCCGCCUGAUGACCGCUGAAGAUGUGGCUCUGCACAUUUGCGAGGUCAAGGUAGCAGGGUCAGCACCUGACUGACCUGAUCACUCCAAUAGCUUUGAAACUGAGACGAAUCGAGUUACAUAACGGAUCUUUAAGCAAGUUAAUAAUCAGAGGUGGUACCAGCACAAUAAUAGGCCAUUUCCUUAUGGUAUGCAUCGAGUGUCUCAUGACUCAAAUUACGAAAGAUGACUACGCCGUACUUCAUCGCCUCAGUUUCGGCGCGUGAGAUUGCCGCGGCCUUGCACACUGUACACCGACAACGAGGCAGUGGAAAGUAUGAUAAUUGCAAGGAUGGAACGUAUGAAUGGGUCCCUCUUAUCGCACCUCCUAUCAGGCAAAGCAGGAAAAGGAGGUUGUUGACCUUGAAGCUCGCGUCUUGUCGCCAAGAGGCAGCCUUGUUAGCC